rnacentral:rRNA from 1 species
GGUCAAGAAGAGAAGCGCAAACGGUGGAUGCCUUGGCAGUAAGAGGCGAAGAAGGACGUGGAAUCCUGCGAAAAGCUAUGGGGAGCUGGAAACGAGCGUUGAGCCAUAGAUGUCCGAAUGGGGGAACCCGGCUGCAGCGAUGCGGUCAUUUGCAUUUGAAUACAUAGGAUGCAAAGGCGAACUCGGGGAACUGAAACAUCUAAGUACCCGAAGGAAAAGAAAUCAAGAGAGAUUCUCCAAGUAGCGGCGAGCGAACGGGGAGGAGCCUGGCGUGAUUUAUUAUUGAACUGAGUAGAACAAUUUGGGAAAGUUGGCCGAAGAGGGUGAAAGCCCCGUAUACGAAGGUUUGAUGAGGAACUAGGCACGCGAACAAGUAGGCCGGGACACGUGAAAUCCUGGUUGAAGAUGGGUGGACCAUCAUCCAAGGCUAAAUACUACUUACUGACCGAUAGUGAACCAGUACCGUGAGGGAAAGGUGAAAAGAACCCCGGAGAGGGGAGUGAAAUAGAAUCUGAAACCGUUUGCGUACAAGCAGUGGGAGCAUGGUUUAGGCUGUGUGACUGCGUACCUUUUGUAUAAUGGGUCAGCGAGUUACUUUCAGUGGCGAGGUUAACUGAAUAAGGGAGCCGUAGAGAAAUCGAGUCUGAAUAGGGCGAUAGUCGCUGGGAGUAGACCCGAAACCGGGCGAUCUAGCCAUGUGCAGGAUGAAGGUUGGGUAACACCAACUGGAGGUCCGAACCGGGUAAUGUUGAAAAAUUAUCGGAUGACGUGUGGCUAGGAGUGAAAGGCUAAUCAAGCCCGGAGAUAGCUGGUUCUCCCCGAAAGCUAUUUAGGUAGCGCCUCGUGAAUGAUUACUGGGGGUAGAGCACUGUUUCGGCUAGGGGGCUGUCAUGGCUUACCAAACCGAUGCAAACUCCGAAUACCGGCUAAUU